GAAAAGUUAAAUUUUACCAUUAAAAAUUUAAAGGGUUUAAAUCUAAAUUUUCCAUUUUAGGGGAGGUUGAGGCCCCUGCCAGCCCCUCUGGGUUCGCCACUGGUUUUAUGAUGAAUGAUCUUGUAAAACUGCUGGCAAAUUCUUCUUUACUUGGGGGUCCUUCCAAGUUUUAAGAAGUUGGAGAGUUUAAAUUCGCAAUUUGAUAAUAAC
rnacentral:lncRNA from 1 species